rnacentral:rRNA from 1 species
GACGAACCGUGCGAACGUUGUUCGGAAUCACUGGGCUUAAAGGGCGCGUAGGCGGGCUCGCAAGUCUGCGGUGAAAGCCCCCGGCUUAACCGGGGAAGGGCCGUGGAUACUGCGGGCCUCGAGGAGGGUAGGGGCGUCUGGAACAGUAGGUGGAGCGGUGAAAUGCGUUGAUAUCUACUGGAACUCCGGUGGCGAAGGCGAGGCGCUGGACCCUUUCUGACGCUGAGGCGCGAAAGCCAGGGGAGCGAACGGG